rnacentral:rRNA from 1 species
UACAGAGAGUGCAAGCGUUAAUCGGAAUCACUGGGCGUAAAGCGCUCGUAGGUGGAUAUUUAAGUCGGGUGUGAAAUCCCCGGGCUUAACCUGGGAAUUGCAUUCGAUACUGGUUAUCUAGAGUAUGGUAGAGGGGAGUGGAAUUUCCGGUGUAGCGGUGAAAUGCGUAGAUAUCGGAAAGAACACCAGUGGCGAAGGCGGCUCCCUGGACUAAUACUGACACUGAUGAGCGAAAGCGUGGGGAGCAAACAGG